rnacentral:rRNA from 1 species
AACGAACGCUGGCGGCGUGGAUAAGACAUGCAAGUCGAACGGAAUGCCAUGAGUAGCAAUACAAGUGGUGUUUAGUGGCGAACGGGUGCGUAACACGUGGAUACAUUCCGGGAAGCGGGGGAUAGCCCAGGGAAACUUGGAUUAAUACCGCAUGUGAUCGAAAGAUCAAAGACGGGGACUGCAAGGCCUGUCACUUCCCGAUUGGUCCGCGGCCUAUCAGCUAGUUGGCGGGGUAAAAGCCCACCAAGGCGACGACGGGUAGCUGGUCUGAGAGGACGACCAGCCACACUGGAACUGAGACACGGUCCAGACACCUACGGGUGGCAGCAGUCGAGAAUCUUUCACAAUGGGGGCAACCCUGAUGGAGCGACGCCGCGUGGAGGAUAAGGGUCUUC